GACGAACGCUGGCGGCGUGCUUAACACAUGCAAGUCGAACGGAAAGGCCCUGCUUUUGUGGGGUGCUCGAGUGGCGAACGGGUGAGUCACACGUGAGUAACCUGCCCUUGACUUUGGGGUAACUUCAGGAAACUGGGGCUCAUACCGGAUAGGAGCUCCUGCUGCAUGGUGGGGGUUGGAAAGUUUCGGCGGUUGGGGCUGGGCUCGCGGCUUAGGAGCUUGUUGGUGGGGGAGUGGGUUACCCAGGCUUUGACGGGUAGGCGGGCCGGGAGGGUGGCCGGGGAAAAUGGGACAGAGAAAAGGCCCAGAGGCCUAGGGGGGGCAGGAGGGGGGGAGAUUGGAAAAUGGGGGGAAGGCUGGUGCAGGGACGGCGGGUGGGGGAGGAAGGGCUUCGGGGUGUGAACUCCAUUCGCCAGGGACGAAGCGGUGUGUGACGGUACCGGGAGAAGAAGCACCGGCUAACUACGUG
rnacentral:rRNA from 1 species